GAUGAAGAACGUAGCGAAAUGCGAUAAGUAAUGUGAAUUGCAGAAUUCAGUGAAUCAUCGAAUCUUUGAACGCACCUUGCGCCCUUUGGCCAUUCCGAAGGGCAUGCCUGUUUGAGUAUCAUGAACACCUCAACUCUUCAUGGUUUUCCGUGAUGAGCUUGGACUUUGGGGGUCUUGCUGGCCUAUGGUCAGCUCCUCUAAAAUAAAUCAGCUUGCCAGUGUUUGGUGGGUAUCACAGGUGUGAUAACUAUCUACGCUUGUGGUUUUCCACCAGGUAACCUUCAGCAGUGGAGGUUCGCUGGAGCUCACAGAUGUGUCUCUCCUCAGUGAGGACAGCUCUUUGAAUGUUUGAUCUCAAAUCAGGUAGGACUACCCGCUGAACUUAAGCAUAUCAAUAAGCGGAGA
rnacentral:misc_RNA from 1 species